rnacentral:rRNA from 1 species
UACGUAGGGGGCAAGCGUUGUCCGGAUUUAUUGGGCGUAAAGAGCGUGUAGGCGGUCUGGUAGGUCCGUUGUGAAAACUCGAGGCUCAACCUCGAGACGCCGAUGGAAACCCUCAGACUAGAGUCCGGAAGAGGAGAGUGGGAUUCCUGGUGUAGCGGUGAAAUGCGCAGAUAUCAGGAAGAACACCAGUGGCUAAGGCGGCUCUCUAGUACGUGACUGACGCUGAGACGCGAAAGCGUGGGGAGCGAACAGG